rnacentral:rRNA from 1 species
UACAGAGGGUGCGAGCGUUGUCCGGAAUCACUGGGCGUAAAGGGCGCGUAGGCGGCCAUGCGUGUCUUCCGUGAAAUCCCUCGGCUCAACCGAGGACGUGCGGAAGAAACUGCAAGGCUCGAGUCCGGAAGAGGGGGGCGGAAUUCCCAGUGUAGCGGUGAAAUGCGUAGAUAUCUGGAGGAACACCGGUGGCGAAGGCGGUUCUCUGGGCCUUACCUGACGCUGAGGAGCGAAAGCGUGGGGAGCGAACAGG